rnacentral:rRNA from 1 species
GAUGAACGCUGGCGGCGUGCCUAAUACAUGCAAGUAGAACGCUGAAGGAGGAGCUUGCUCUUCUGGAUGAGUUGCGAACGGGUGAGUAACGCGUAGGUAACCUGCCUGGUAGCGGGGGAUAACUAUUGGAAACGAUAGCUAAUACCGCAUGACAACAGUUAUUGCAUGAUAACUGUUUAAAAGGGGCAACUGCUCCACUACCAGAUGGACCUGCGUUGUAUUAGCUAGUUGGUGAGGUAACGGCUCACCAAGGCGACGAUACAUAGCCGACCUGAGAGGGUGAGCGGCCACACUGGGACGGAGACACGGCCCAGACUGCUACGGGAGGCAGCAGUAGGGAAUCGUCGGCAAUGGACGGAAGUCUGACCGAGCAACGCCGCGUGAGGGAAGAAGGUUUUCGGAUCGUAAAGCUCUGUUGUAAGAGAAGAACGAGUGUGAGAGUGGAAAGUUCACACUGUGACGGUAUCUUACCAGAAAGGGACGGCUAACUACGUG